GAGCUCACUUUGGCAGUACACCUACUAAAAUUGGAACAAUACAGAAAGGAUUAGCCUGGUCCCUGUGCAAGGAUAACACAUAAAUUCAUAAAGUGUUCCAUAUUUAA
rnacentral:snRNA from 1 species